AUAUAAUCCAUUCAGGAACUCCAACCAACCAAACAUCACUUGAUAUAAUCCAUUCAGGAACUCCAACCAAACAUCACUUGAUAUAAUCCAUUCAGGAACUCCAACCAAA